CGGCAUGCCUAACACAUGCAAGUCGAACGAGACCUUCGGGGUCUAGUGGCGCACGGGUGCGUAACGCGUGGGAAUCUGCCCUUGGGUUCGGAAUAACAGCGAGAAAUUGCUGCUAAUACCGGAUGAUGACGUAAGUCCAAAGAUUUAUCGCCCAAGGAUGAGCCCGCGUAGGAUUAGCUAGUUGGUGAGGUAAAGGCUCACCAAGGCGACGAUCCUUAGCUGGUCUGAGAGGAUGAUCAGCCACACUGGGACUGAGACACGGCCCAGACUCCUACGGGAGGCAGCGGUGGGAAUAUUGGACAAUGGGCGAAAGCCUGAUCCAGCAAUGCCGCGUGAGUGAUGAAGGCCUUAGGGUUGUAAAGCUCUUUUACCCGGGAUGAUAAUGACAGUACCGGGAGAAUAAGCUCCGGCUAACUCCGUG
rnacentral:rRNA from 1 species